rnacentral:lncRNA from 1 species
GAUAACAUAUGGAUCACUCUUCGUGUUUGUACUCCAAAGUGAGCAAAUAUACUCUCAGAUAUUACCGUAAGAGCAUUUCUACUUUUAUGAAAGUUUGUAACAAAAACAGAAACACGAGUUCUCCUUGCGCCAGAUUGAGCCGUAUACUGUACACCAAACAAAAAAGCAUCAACAGGAUACUAGAGUUGGGUGUGAAGGCAACACCAGAGGUCGGCACUAGAGAGGCGGCACCAGAGGGCGGCACCAGAGCUCGCUCACGUCUAUAUUUCGGUAUAUAAAGAGCUGCAUGAGCCUCGACAAAGACAGUCAACGCUGAACAGCCAAUUCUGACCGACAACAUUGACUUCACAGACAUGAAACUUUUGUCGCUGAUGGUGGUGUUGGUGGUGGCCCUGGCCGCCCUGAUGGGGUCAGCCCGAGCCAUGCCUGACCCCUACGCCCUGGCCGACCCUGACCCCGCGGCUGACCCACAGUUUGGUUUCGGCCGGCGAGGUUUCGGCGGAGGUUUCGGCCGAGGUUUCAGACGAGGUCGUUUCUUUGGUUAAUGUGAUCCCGUACUCUCCGUGACCAACAGUUUCCUAUCAAGCACAACAAACAUCCGGCCAGAAAAUAUAGAAACCCAAAAUUGUGAAAUAAUGAAAUUGUGAAAAGUGUGAUCAAGAGCUUUAAUGUCCUGUCUCGGCAGUAACAAAUUGAUUGAUCAGCUUUUAGGAACUUUGGUACAAUGCUUCCAUAAAUAUAUGCAUUUAUAAGUA